GAGCCAGCGACUCUUCUAUGGAGAGCAGCUGUGCAGGCAGGUGGUGGAGCGGAAGAAGGCGUGCUGCUGUGACAUCAUCAAGAUGCUGCCUAGCCCUGCGUCGCUGCUCUUCUGAGGAAGCAGGAGACUGACCCCUGUGACAAUGACUUGAUGAGUCACUCUGUUGUCUACUUACCCUAGUUCUUUGUCCCAUACAAUGAGGAGAAUCAGCACACUGUAUGGAGUUGUUGACAAGCAAGCUAUAUUUUUCUCUGAAGUAGUCAUCGGGAUCUCAUUCAACAGUAUCCUCUUCCUCUUCCACAUCUUUCAGUUCCUUCUUGAGCGUAGGCUCCGGAUCACUGACCUGAUCAUCAGUCUCUUGGCCCUCAUCCACCUUGGGAUGCUAACAGUCAUGGGAUUCAGAGCUGUUGAUAUUUUUGCAUCUCAGAAUGUGUGGAAUGACAUCAAAUGCAAAUCCCUUGCCCACUUACACAGACUUUUGAGGGGCCUCUCUCUUUGUGCUACCUGUCUGCUGAGUAUCUUCCAGGCCAUCACCCUUAGCCCCAGAAGCUCCUGUUUAGCAAAGUUCAAAUAUAAAUCCACACAGCACAGCCUGUGUUCCCUUCUUGUGCUCUGGGCCUUCUACAUGUCCUGUGGUACUCACUACUCCUUCACCAUCGUUGCUGACUACAACUUCUCUUCACGCAGUCUCAUAUUUGUCACUGAAUCCUGCAUUAUUUUACCCAUGGAUUACAUCACCAGGCAUUUAUUUUUCAUAUUGGGGAUAUUUCGGGAUGUGUCCUUCAUAGGUCUCAUGGCCCUCUCCAGCGGGUACAUGGUGGCCCUCUUGUGCAGACACAGGAAACAGGCCCAGCAUCUUCACAGGACCAGCCUUUCUCCAAAAGCAUCCCCAGAGCAAAGGGCCACCAGGACCAUCCUGUUGCUCAUGAGCUUCUUUGUGUUGAUGUACUGCUUGGACUGCACCAUAUCCGCCUCCAGACUUAUGCACAACGGUGAACCAAUCCACCACAGUAUUCAGAUGAUGGUCUCCAAUAGCUAUGCCACCCUCAGCCCUUUGCUGUUAAUUGUUACUGAAAAUCGAAUUAGUAGGUUUUUGAAGUCCUUGCUAGGAAGGACAGUAGAUGCUUAAGUAUUGAGGGGAGGCAGGCCCACUAAAGGAGCCAAUAUGCUAGCUACUGAAUAAUGAAUCCUGGCCUAGUCCUCAUGCAAUCCUGAACAAAUUAAUACAUGACUCAUGCUUCGUUAAACCUGCUUCUUUUGAAAUGUGUAUUACCAACACCUGUAGAUAUUUGAGUCAAAUUUCUUCAUGUGUAUUUCUUCUCAGUGUCAGUAGGGGACAUCUGUGACACUUUCACAGAUUAGGGUAACUUGUGCACUUAUCAAUAAGCUAAAGUGUACAGCACAUUUUACUAAGCCAAUUAUCUCAACAGUUUGUUUUCUACCCAAUUAAAUAUGUAAAUGUUACCACA
rnacentral:lncRNA from 1 species